rnacentral:rRNA from 1 species
CCUGUCCUGACGUUGAGACCCGAAAGCGUAGGGAGCAAACAGGAUUAGAUACCCUGGUAGUCUACGCCGUAAACGAUGCGCACUAGGUUCGAGAGCUACUGACGGCCCUCGUGCCGAAGCAAAAGUACUAAGUGCGCCGCCUGGGGAGUACGGCCGCAAGGCUAAAACUCAAAGGAAUUGACGGGGGCUCACACAAGCGGUGGAGCAUGUGGAUCAAUUCGAAGCAACGCGAAGAACCUUACCUGGGUUUGACAUGCACGGAUGCCCUUCUGGAAACAGGAGUAAGCUGCCUUCGGGUGAAACGUGCACAGGUGCUGCAUGGCUGUCGUCAGCUCGUGCUGUGAAGUGUCGGGUUAAGUCCCUUAACGAGCGAAACCCUUGUCGCUAGUUGCCAGCGGGUCAUGCCGGGAACUCUAGCGAGACUGCCGGCGUUAAGCCGGAGGAAGGUGGGGAUGACGUCAAGUCAUCAUGGCCUUUAUGCCCAGGGUGUCACACGUGCUACAAUGGGGCGUACAGAGCGACGCAAGACCGUGAGGUGGAGCAAAUCGCAGAAAGCGUCCCUCAGUUCGGAUCGGGGUCUGCAACUCGACCCCGUGAAGCUGGAAUCGCUAGUAAUCGCGUAUCAGCCAUGACGCGGUGAUAUGUUCCUGAGCAUUGACACACCGCCCGUCAAGUCAUGNAGCUGGAGUUCUCGAAGUCGCUGCGUUUCAGCAGUGCCGACGG